ACAAAUAAAACAAGAAGCAUUACCUGCUGCUGCUGCUGUUGUUGCUGCUGAAGCGCAAGCAGGUGACUAUUUUCCUUGUACUGAGCCAAAACAUCAUCAUAGUUUAUAGCUGAUCCAGAUGGGGCAGCAGGAGCAUUCAUCUGAUAAUUUCCGGGAACUGUGGCAGUAUUUCCAAGACCACCGUAUCCAGAAGGGACAGCAGCAGACUGAGGCAAACUACUGACUGCAACACUGCUUUUAUACUGAGGAAGUAAAGCAGCCAGGGACUGAUGGUACGUG
rnacentral:lncRNA from 1 species